rnacentral:rRNA from 1 species
AGGCCGCUGGGAUCCCUUCGGGGUGAACUUGGCGCUGACGAGUGGCGGACGGGUGAGUAAUACUUAGGAAUCUGCCUAGUAGCGGGGGACAACUCGAGGAAACUCGAGCUAAUACCGCAUACGCCCUACGGGGGAAAGCGGGGGAUCUUCGGACCUCGCACUAUUGGAUGAGCCUAAGUCGGAUUAGCUUGUUGGUGAGGUAAUGGCUCACCAAGGCGACGAUCCGUAGCUGGUCUGAGAGGACGACCAGCCACACUGGGACUGAGACACGGCCCAGACUCCUACGGGAGGCAGCAGUGGGGAAUAUUGGACAAUGGGCGCAAGCCUGAUCCAGCAAUACCGCGUGUGUGAAGAAGGCCUGCGGGUUGUAAAGCACUUUCAGUGGGGAAGAAAUGUCUGAGGUUAAUACCCUCGGAUCUUGACGUAACCUACAGAAGAAGCACCGGCUAACUCCGUGCCAGCAGCCGCGGUAAUACGGGGGGUGCAAGCGUUAAUCGGAAUUACUGGGCGUAAAGCGCGCGUAGGCGGCUUUGUAAGUCGGAUGUGAAAGCCCUGGGCUCAACCUGGGAACUGCAUUCGAAACUGCAUGGCUAGAGUAUGGGAGAGGGAAGUGGAAUUUCCGGUGUAGCGGUGAAAUGC